AUUUUUCAUGGCCUAAUAGCUAGUUUCUUUAGUGCUGAGUAAUAUUCCAUUGUCUGUGUGUACUGCAGGUUAUCAGUCCAUUCACCUGCUGAAGGACAUCUUGGUUGCUGCAGAUGGCUUCUGAGAUGAGGAAUUCUUUUCUCCUAAGUCUUAAGUGGAAGCUGAUUAUGUAAAUCAGAAUAAAGGCAGAGAUGUUCUCAUUGAAGGAGAAAUAUUUUCCCUUCGACCCACACCCCUCCCAGGAUCCAGAAGCACCUAGGGCUUCUGUCUGGGACCCCUCUUCUGCCUCACUUCAGAUACUCUUGGCCUCGCCCGGUCUUGUCCUUGCUGUCAUCGGGGUGACUGGUUCUGUGAUGAGGUCCAACUGGUUCAUGACUGACAGACCUCGUCUCUGAUCCCUUUUGUCCAUCUUGUCUCCUGGCCUGGUGAGUCCCCUUAGUGCUAUGAAUACCCAACUCAGAAUUGUGGCAGAGCUGACAAACCUUCCCCCGCUGGAAAACCAGAUCUCCUGGAGAAAUACGCCUCCUUCUUCUAUUCCUGCAGACAGUCCUGACCAUGGUUUCUAGGUGUUCAUAUAUGUUCUCCCAUUCUGUGGGUUGCCUUUUCACUGUUGAUUGUGUCCUUUGAUGCAUGGAAGUUUUAAUUUGUGAUGUGGUCCGAGUUCCCUGUUUUUUUCUUUCAUUGCCUGUACUUUGGGGUCAUAUCCAAGAAAUCAU
rnacentral:lncRNA from 1 species